rnacentral:SRP_RNA from 1 species
GCUGGGCAUGGUGGUGCAUGCCUGUAGUCCCAGCUACUUGGGAGGCUGAGGUGGGAGAAUCACUUGAGCCCAGGAGGUUGAGACUGCAGUGAGCUGUGAUCAUUCCACAGCACUCCAGCCUGGGUGACACAGUGAGACCCUGUCUCAA